ensembl:lncRNA
AGGCUGUGUUCUGCAGCCAACACUGGUCCUGCCCCCUUGCAACAGGCUGGUCUUCACGCACUUCCCUAAGCCCUUUACUUCAACGAGCUGCUUUACAGCAGGUACAUGCUGAGAAGAGCAAAAUGUAGCRGUUGAAUGAAAGAAAAGCAAGCCAGGAUUUUCCUGGGGUUUCUUUUGCUCUGUGACUUUUGGAAGAGGAGGUUUGCAGAAGUGAGGAUUUCCCCUUCACCUGCAAGGCAUGAUUUACCAGCCAGGUUGGUAAAGUUGGCCUUUUUAGCACACUGUAAUGGAGAUAAAUUGUGUGUGAUGGCCAAGGCUCUGCUUUCUGGAUAUUCUGAGCAGCCAUAUAUCUGACAGUUAUCUUUGAGCAUGUUCAGUGUUCAGCAUCACUGGAAACGGCAGCCAUGGUGGGACCUAGAAAAGAGAUACUGCCAACAGCAUUACUUCUCUUUCCAUGGCACCCAGGAGGAAAAUCAAUGUCGAUGAGAUUGUUCAGCUUCUGGCCGUGCUCCCAGGAAACUGUGCCUUGCCUGUUGAGCCGGGUAUGUUGUCUGCAUCUCUGCCAUCCUCAAAGGAGCAUCGUGAGCCUGCAAGCCUGCGCUUUCCACCAAGACGGAAACAGAGAACGUGUCUCAGAGUACCCAGCACAAGGCUGCCAUUUCCAGACUUGCUGUCUCUGGCCGCUUUUGGAGCACUGUCACGCCCUUAGGGUGAGCAGACGGGCGCUCUCUUUGCAAGUGCUGUGCUGGGAACAGGGAGUCACUGCAUGUCCUCGCGGUGACACGGCGAGGGGUCCUGCACACGGUGAGUUAUGCACAAUUCAAAACCCAAACUGUAAUUUGUGUGUUUUACUGUGCUGUAAUUGA